rnacentral:rRNA from 1 species
UGGGGAAUUUUGGACAAUGGGCGAAAGCCUGAUCCAGCAAUGCCGCGUGUGUGAAGAAGGCCUUCGGGUUGUAAAGCACUUUUGUCCGGAAAGAAAUCCUUGGCUCUAAUACAGUCGGGGGAUGACGGUACCGGAAGAAUAAGCACCGGCUAACUACGUGCCAGCAGCCGCGGUAAUACGUAGGGUGCAAGCGUUAAUCGGAAUUACUGGGCGUAAAGCGUGCGCAGGCGGUUUGCUAAGACCGAUGUGAAAUCCCCGGGCUCAACCUGGGAACUGCAUUGGUGACUGGCAGGCUAGAGUAUGGCAGAGGGGGGUAGAAUUCCACGUGUAGCAGUGAAAACGCGUAGAGAUGUGGAUGGAAUAGCCAGAUGGCCGAAUGGGCAAGGCCCCCUGGGCCCCAAUACGUCAGACUGAUCAUGCACGAAAAGCGUGGGGAGCAAACAGGAUUAGAUACCCUGGUAGUCCACGCCCUAAAACGAUGUCAACUAGUUGUUGGGGAUUCAUUUCCUUAGUAACGUAGCUAACGCGUGAAGUUGACCGCCU